GGAAAGAUUUAUCGCCUUAGGAGCGGCCCGCGUCGGAUUAGCUAGUUGGUGGGGUAACGGCUUACCAAGGCUUCGAUCCGUAGCUGGUCUGAGAGGACGAUCAGCCACACUGGGACUGAGACACGGCCCAGACUCCUACGGGAGGCAGCAGUGGGGAAUCUUGCGCAAUGGGGGCAACCCUGACGCAGCCAUGCCGCGUGAAUGAUGAAGGCCUUAGGGUUGUAAAGUUCUUUUGCCCGUGACGAUGAUGACGGUAACGGGAGAAUAAGCUCCGGCUAACUUCGUGCCAGCAGCCGCGGUAAUACGAAGGGGGCUAGCGUUGUUCGGAAUUACUGGGCGUAAAGCGCGCGCAGGCGGUUCGAUAAGUUGGGGGUGAAAUCCCUGGGCUCAACCCAGGAAUGGCCUUCAAGACUGUCGAGCUAGAGGACCAGAGAGGUGAGUGGAAUUCCCAGUGUAGAGGUGAAAUUCGUAGAUAUUGG
rnacentral:rRNA from 1 species